CGUUUAUAACCGCAGCUUCACGUCGUCUCAGAGCCCCGCCCUCUAUCUGACUGUGGGAGACUUGGUGACAAAUCUGAUCAUCAGGGUGGUUGUGGUCCCCUUCCUCCUGAUCACAGGGACCAUCUGCCUCUUCUUCUACUGUCGGGCCAGUGGGGGGCGGAGUCGACUGAAGGCACGCAACACACCAUGAGAGACACCGACACAGUCUACGAACACAGUCUACAAACAAAGUCUAUGAACACAGUCUACGAACACAGUCUACGAACAAAGUCUAUGAACACAGUCUACGAACACAGUCUACGAACAAAGUCUAUGAACACAGUCUACGAACACAGUCUACGUCCAUGUCCUCGUCCAUCCUGCAGAAUAGUUGUGUGUGUUGUUUGUGUCCCAGUCCCAGUUCUGGUCCUGGAGUCCUGGUCCGGUCUGAAUGUUCAGUGUGUUUGUGUUUCAGCGGUUCCUGGUUCUUCUUAGACUUGGACUCAGACCUGUUCAGUCCUGGGUUAGG